GAGGUAGAGCACUGUUUGGACUAGGGCCCUUCUCGGGUUACCGAAUUCAGAUAAACUCCGAAUGCCAUGUACUUAUACUCGGGAGUCAGACUGCGAGUGAUAAGAUCCGUAGUCGAAAGGGAAACAGCCCAGACCACCAGUUAAGGUCCCCAAAUAUAUGUUAAGUGGAAAAGGAUGUGGGGUUGCUUAGACAACCAGGAUGUUGGCUUAGAAGCAGCCACCAUUGAAAGAGUGCGUAAUAGCUCACUGGUCGAGUGACCCCGCGCCGAAAAUGUACCGGGGCUAAACAUAUUACCGAAACUGUGGAUGAACCUCUUUAGAGGUUCGUGGUAGGAGAGCGUUCUAAGGGCGGUGAAGUCAGACCGGAAGGACUGGUGGAGCGCUUAGAAGUGAGAAUGCCGGUAUGAGUAGCGAAAGAAGGGUGAGAAUCCCUUCCACCGAAUAUCUAAGGUUUCCUGAGGAAGGCUCGUCCGCUCAGGGUUAGUCGGGACCUAAGCUGAGGCCGAUAGGCGUAGGCGAUGGACAACAGGUAGAGAUUCCUGUACCAGUGCUAAUUGUUUAACCGAUGGGGUGACACAGAAGGAUAGGGAAUCGCACGAAUGGAAAUGUGCGUCCAAGCAGUGAGUGUGAGAAGUAGGCAAAUCCGCUUCUCGCGAAGCAUGAGCUGUGAUGGGGAAGGAAAUUAAGUACGGAAGUUCCUGAUUUCACGCUGUCAAGAAAAGCCUCUAGGAAGAGUAGUACUGCCCGUACCGCAAACCGACACAGGUAGAUGAGGAGAGAAUCCUAAGGUGAGCGAGAGAACUCUCGUUAAGGAACUCGGCAAAAUGACCCCGUAACUUCGGGAGAGGGGUGCUCUAUUAGGGUGCAAGCCCGAGAGAGCCGCAGUGAAUAGGCCCAGGCGACUGUUUAGCAAAAACACAGGUCUCUGCAAACCGUAAGGUGACGU
rnacentral:rRNA from 1 species